ACCCAUGGCAUAUGAAAGUUCCCAGGUUACAGGUAGAACCGGAGCUGUAGUGCCAGCCUAUGCCACAGCCACGCCAGAUCCAAGCUUCAUCUGCAACCUACACCACAGCUCAUGGCAAUGCCAGAUCCUUAUUGCCAUGAGUGAGUCCAGGGAUCAAACACAUAUCCUCAUGGAUACUAGUUGGGUUCAUUACCACUGAGCCACAAUGGGAACUCCUCAUAACCAUUUCUGAACACAAAGUAAAGCAUAAUCUUCCAAACCCACAAAAUCGAUGAUCUCCCUAUCCUUGUCGAUACGAAGAACUGCUACUUCUUAGCCAAAUAUGGUGGAGUUUCACCCUAGUCUUCCCCACUUUUAGAUUAGGAAUUACCGAAAUAACCAACUAUAAGGGAAAAAAUAAAAAUCAUUUAAAAAAUUAAAUAAAAACCUGAGAAAAUCGGAAUGAAAAAGAAUAAAUAUAAAAAAAAAAAGAAACUGGGGUAAGGUCAAUCAAAAAGUUAAAUUCCUGAUGGAAUGGGCUAUAAAUUUGGCUCUAGCUCUAAACGUUUUCUCAAAUGAUCUCACGUGAGCCCCAAUCUUUAACCCCUUCUUACUGAGAUGUUAAACCUGCAGCAUAUGGAAAUUCCCAGGUUAGGGGUCGAAUCGGAGCUACAGCUGCUGACCUACAUCACAGCCACAGCAACGCAAGAUCUGAGCUGCUUCUGUGACCUACACCAUAGCUCAGAGCAACACCAGAUGCCCAACCCACCAACUGAGGCCCACAUCCUCACGGAUACUAGUCAGAUUCAUUUCAGCUUCUCCACAACAGAAACUCCUUAUCUCCAUUCUCUUACGCAGACAUAAAAAGCCUUAGACAUCAACAUAGUUGACAUUCCCUUCUACUUUCCACUAACUGAGGCAAAAUAUUAAAAUAAAAAAAGCAAAGAAGUCAAUUACUUUAAACUCCUAAAAUGGGAAUUGAAGAGUAAAAAAAGUUCAGAAUGAGUUUUAAACUCAUACUAAAGUUAUGUUCUAAAGUCUGACUUAAAGAAAGCUACGUUAAGAGGGAAAGUGUAUAUAUGUUUAAUUUUGACUUUAGUAAUAUUUGAUGCAUUAUAAUUCUCAAAAGACAUACAGCAGCAGCACCACAUAAAUUAUGAAAUACAGGCUUUAUUGGGCAAACAAUUUAUUCCAAUCAGGGAAAUAAUAAUGCCUUACAUCAAUCGCAUACUGAUCAUCUGCUAGGUCUUACAUCUGUCAUCUGAAUCAAUCUUCAAAUUCACCCUUUGAAUUAGAAGGUAAAAUUACCUCCACUUUAAUGGUUAGGAUACUAGGGCUGUGACAGGAUAAGAAACUUGUUUGAAAUUACAUAGUGUGAUUGUAGAGGUGAAGUACAAACCCACAGAAUCCUAUUCCAGAAGCCACAUGCUAAAACUUUACAAAUCACUUCCACAGUACCCAAAGGCUCGUAGUUCUUCUAGUAGCAUCACUCAUCUCUACACACAAUGGACCCUGUGUAUAAUCAUAUAGGUUUCAAAACUUUAGAAAAACAGCUGUGCUGAAAACUCUAAGACGUCUCCAAAUGAGGAAGAAACUGCUUGGAAAGUCUGACAACUCAAUGGCUACUGUCCUCACCUCUGCAUCAUUGAUUAUAAUCUCAUUAAAGACAUUUGGAGUCAAGAUAAAUUUAAGUCAUACAGCACAGUGUCAUCAAAAGAUCAUUGGAAAAGUGAUGUCGGGACACAAGAUUUAUCAUCCUGGCUCCGUUAAAGUCCUUGCUCAAGUAACGUCCACCCUUUUAGACAUGAACAAAUUAGAGGUUAAAUGCCAAAAUAUAGAAACAUUUAAAUUCAAAUUUGAAGCUAAGAAUCAAUGUAAUGUGCAACUCUGAAGCUUUAUUUUCAAUAAUUAUGUCAUUAUAGUGGAGAGUAUUUUUUAUAAUAUGGUAAGUUCUAAGCCAGGAAAAUGAAUUAAAAAUUAAAAAAAAAACCCAAUUCACUAAAGACUACUACUUAUUUUAAACAUGCGGAAUCAAUGCCUUUUAAACAGGUCUUGCUUGUAACAAGGACUGGCUGCUUAUUCCUACAAUAUGCAGCAGGUGUAACUGCACAAAUAUAUGCUUCAAAAGCAGAUAGAAAUAUAUGUUUCCAUUUAGCGGUUAAAAUAGGUUUAUUUAAAGUCCUUUUAAGAGUUGAACACUGUUCUAGACACUAGUGGUCUAGAAAAACUCAACUGGAAAAUAGUUUAAUAUCUAUGAGUGAAAACUUACAGAAAGUGAUAGAGAAAAUCAUGCCUAACUUAUAGAGUCUACCUUUUUAAUAUAUGGUUACAUCUCAUCUUUAAGUCCAAGCGUCAUUCAAAGCACACUGACCACAUCCACGUAUCAUUAUCUCUGACCUUAUGGAAUCAUAAGGUAUAUUCCUUUUGGUUCUCUACCUACUACAGCUAAUAAAUUUAAUUUCGCAAAAGGUUUAAGGCAAAAUGGCAGAAAAUAAUACUGUACUUAAGUAAAGCAAAUUGUCUGGAGACUGCAUUGGCAAACUCUUCAUCAUGAGUCUUAAAAUGUUUCUAGAAUUCUACACCUUUACAGCUUUCCUGGAUUUUUCAUGGGCCAUGGAUUUUCUCAUAUGCUGAACUAAGAAUUUAAAAGAAACUAUGUCUUACUAGGUUUGUAAAGCUUUAAAUAGGCUCAGUUUAAUUUGAUAAAGUAGGCAAAGGUAGUUAUAUCAACAGAUAUUCUAUGGUUCAUUACAUUACCCUGGGUAGAAAUAGGCUGGUUUUA
rnacentral:lncRNA from 1 species